rnacentral:rRNA from 1 species
AGAGUUUGAUCCUGGCUCAGGACGAACGCUGGCGGCGUGCCUAACACAUGCAAGUCGAGCGAGGACGUACCUUUCGGGGUGCGAGCCGAGCGGCGGACGGGUGCGUAACACGUGAGCGAUCUAUCCUUGUGCGGGGGACAACCCGGGGAAACUCGGGCUAAUACCGCAUGGUCGGGGGAUCUGCAUGGAUUCUCCGGGAAAGGCGGCCUCUGGUUCAAGCUGCCGUGCGAGGAGGAGCUCGCGGCCUAUCAGCUAGUUGGUGGGGUAACGGCCCACCAAGGCGACGACGGGUAGGGGGUCUGAGAGGACGACCCCCCACAUUGGAACUGAGACACGGUCCAGACUCCUACGGGAGGCAGCAGUGGGGAAUAUUGGGCAAUGGCCGAAAGGCUGACCCAGCGACGCCGCGUGCGGGAGGAAGCCCUUCGGGGUGUAAACCGCUGUCACCGGGGACGAAGGCGGGGGCUCGAACAGGGUCACCCGUGUG